rnacentral:rRNA from 1 species
GAUGAGCGCUGACAGAAUGCUUAACACAUGCAAGUCUACUUGAACUUCGGUUUGGGUGGCGGACGGGUGAGUAACGCGUAAAGAACUUGCCUCACAGAUAGGGACAACAUUUGGAAACGAAUGCUAAUACCUGAUAUUAUGAUUUUAGGGCAUCCUAGAAUUAUGAAAGCUAUAUGCACUGUGAGAGAGCUUUGCGUCCCAUUAGCUAGUUGGAGAGGUAACGGCUCACCAAGGCGAUGAUGGGUAGCCGGCCUGAGAGGGUGAUCGGCCACAAGGGGACUGAGACACGGCCCUUACUCCUACGGGAGGCAGCAGUGGGGAAUAUGGGACAAUGGACCAAGAGUCUGAUCCAGCAAUUCUGUGUGCACGAUGAAGUUUUUCGGAAUGUAAAGUGCUUUCAGUUGGGAAGAAAAAAAUGACGGUACCAACAGAAGAAGUGACGGCUAAAUACGUG